UACGGAGGGAGCUAGCGUUGUUCGGAUAUACUGGGCGUAAAGCGCACGUAGGCGGCGCCGUAAGUCAGGGGUGAAAUCCCGGAGCUCAACUCCGGAACUGCCCUUGAAACUGCAGUGCUAGAAUUCUGGAGAGGCGAGUGGAAUUCCGAGUGUAGAGGUGAAAUUCGUAGAUAUUCGGAAGAACACCAGUGGCGAAGGCGGCUCACUGGCCCGAUACUGACGCUGAGGUGCGAAAGCGUGGGGAGCAAACAGG
rnacentral:rRNA from 1 species